AAAGGGAGACCUAAUUCAGGUAGGAGACGAAAAAAAGUAGUCCCAACCAAGAAUCAAUCCCAAAAGGUCGGAGCGAGGCAAAAUUGGCUUUCAAACUAGGUUCUGGGUUCACAUAAGACCUGAAUCAGGAACAAGGGCUAUUAGCUCAGGUGGUUAGAGCGCACCCCUGAUAAGGGUGAGGUCCCUGGUUCGAGUCCAGGAUGGCCCACCUGCACAGGUGGCAAAAACAAAGAAAAGAAGCUCCGAAUCAGCACCUUAUCUUACUCAUAUAGUAAGAGAGAAUGCUGGCUCUGAGUUCAGAGUCCAGAGGAACCUUGAAAACUGCAUAGAGCUAGGUGAAAAAGCCAAAAAAGAAGACCGCAAG
rnacentral:tRNA from 1 species